rnacentral:tRNA from 1 species
GGAGAGGUGGGUGAGCGGCUGAAACCGACGGUUUGCUAAACCGUUCUACGGCGUAAAGCUGUAGCGAGGGUUCGAAUCCCUCCCUCUCCG